rnacentral:tRNA from 3 species
UUAAUUGAAGCCAAAUCAGAGGCAUUUUAUUGUUAAUAAAAAAAUUGAAUUAAUUUCCAAUUAAA